rnacentral:rRNA from 1 species
UGGGGAAUUUUGGACAAUGGGCGCAAGCCUGAUCCAGCAAUGCCGCGUGCAGGAAGAAGGCCUUCGGGUUGUAAACUGCUUUUGUACGGAACGAAACGGUCUGGGUUAAUACCCUGGACUAAUGACGGUACCGUAAGAAUAAGCACCGGCUAACUACGUGCCAGCAGCCGCGGUAAUACGUAGGGUGCAAGCGUUAAUCGGAAUUACUGGGCGUAAAGCGUGCGCAGGCGGUUUUGUAAGACAGGCGUGAAAUCCCCGGGCUCAACCUGGGAAUUGCGCUUGUGACUGCAAGGCUGGAGUGCGGCAGAGGGGGAUGGAAUUCCGCGUGUAGCAGUGAAAUGCGUAGAUAUGCGGAGGAACACCGAUGGCGAAGGCAAUCCCCUGGGCCUGCACUGACGCUCAUGCACGAAAGCGUGGGGAGCAAACAGGAUUAGAUACCCUGGUAGUCCACGCCCUAAACGAUGUCAACUGGUUGUUGGGAAUUUACUUUCUCAGUAACGAAGCUAACGCGUGAAGUUGACCGCCUGGGGAGUACGGCCGCAAGGUUG